UACGUAGGGGGCGAGCGUUGUCCGGAAUCAUUGGGCGUAAAGCGCGUGUAGGCGGCUCGAUAAGUCCGGUGUGAAACCUUGGGGCUCAACCCAAGCCUGCACUGGAUACUGCCGAGCUAGAGUCCGGGAGGGAGAGCGGAAUUCCUAGUGUAGCGGUGAAAUGCGCAGAUAUUAGGAAGAACACCGGUGGCGAAGGCGGCUCUCUGGAACGGUACUGACGCUGAGACGCGAAAGCGUGGGGAGCGAACAGG
rnacentral:rRNA from 1 species